rnacentral:lncRNA from 1 species
CCAGCGAGGGGAGGACGGAGGCAGCGGGAACACGGGGCUGGGAAGCGGUGCCAGGGGCGCUGGGGGUGGCCAAAUCACCAAAGCUCCGCGCCGCCGUGCCCAUCGCACCGGUUUUGCUGCUGGGAGAAGAACCCACGGCGGCGAGGCGUGUUUUUUCCCCCCAAAAACCCAUCAAUAGGGAUUGGAGCGCCCUGCAGCAAGCUGCGUGCCCCAGCAGCUCGCGUGCCCCUAAGCCGCCUCCUGCUGCCGCUGCUCUCACGCCCGGCUUCGAGCCCUCCUGCGCCAGCCCCGGCUCCUUUCCCCAGAGAGCAGAGCGGCGACGUUUCGUUUUCCUCCUGGUUUCUCUCCAAGAAAUGUUCUCCCAGUUUGUUUUUAUUUUUUGAGAGUAAAGAAGGAGCAGAUAGCAGCGUGUACCAGGGCACCACACCCUGCGGAUGCAGCACCGGAGCGCAGAGCGCGGUGAACAGAGAAAGGGGGCCUAAGGCGCACCGCAGCGGGGCACUUCUGCAUGCUACGGGAUAAAAUCCACCCGCGGCCAUUCACAGUUCUCCUUACCGCCUGAGAACGUGAGGCACUUGGAGGUGAAACGAGAGCCAGGCAAAAAAAAAAAAAAAAAAAGCCGGUCAGAGUGGUCCACUUUGGCCUCUUCAUCUUCCUGUAUGAGUAAUUAUCUUCUCCAGAAGUCCUUCUUGGCUUUAGACGGGAAAAAAAAAAAAAAAAAAUCCCCUAAACUUUUAAGGGAAGUCAGGAGCCGCAUUUAGCAGCCCUGGCUCCCGGCCAGCGUUUCUGCCUCUGCCCCUCGGCUGUGGAUUCAUCUGCCGAAAGCGUUCGCUGUGCGGGCGCAGCCCUCGCCCGCCGCUCGGCUGCCGCAGCCCCACCGGAGCCACCUGCCCCGCGAUCGCUCCUGGGCAAAGGGGAAGCUCUUUGCCAAGGGCAACCUUCGACCGCCGCCGCUCCGGGAGAGGCCACGCGCCCCCCUGGCGCAGCCACCCCAUCGCACCCAACUGGGCGCGUUUCGGAGGAGCGUGCCGUGCCUUCUCCCCAGCGCGGGGGCCGCUCGGCCCGGCCCCCAGCAGUGUCAUUUCCUGCCUCCCGGCCGUGCCGCUGGGACGUCUCGAGAAAUUGCUGAGCGGCAGCACCGGGCAGCAUCAGGAGACGGCACCGCGACGCGGGACGAUGAAUUUUUUGUUCGUGGCGGUCUUGGCUCUUCCUUUUCUGCUGGGGUAUGCUGAAGUGGGAGAAGAGGAGGAAAUAACGCAGUUUUUAUAUGACUACGCAUCUCGUUUUGGUGAUUACUUGUACGCAACCAUCGAGUACUACCCCGACAACGUCACGAUACUUCCCACCAUGUACAUGUACGAGGUGAGUACCCGAAGCAUUUCUCUUCGUAUUCCCAAAAAAACUCGGCUCCUCCCG